GACGAACGCUGGCGGCGUGCCUAAUACAUGCAAGUUGAGCGCUGAAGGUUGGUCCUUGUACCAACUGGAUGAGCAGCGAACGGGUGAGUAACGCGUGGGGAAUCUGCCUUUGAGCGGGGGACAACAUUUGGAAACGAAUGCUAAUACCGCAUAAAAACUUUAAACACAAGUUUUAAGUUUGAAAGAUGCAAUUGCAUCACUCAAAGAUGAUCCCGCGUUGUAUUAGCUAGUUGGUGAGGUAAAGGCUCACCAAGGCGAUGAUACAUAGCCGACCUGAGAGGGUGAUCGGCCACAUUGGGACUGAGACACGGCCCAAACUCCUACGGGAGGCAGCAGUAGGGAAUCUUCGGCAAGGGACGAAAGUCUGACCGAGCAACGCCGCGGGAGUGAAGAAGGUUUUCGGAUCGUAAAACUCUGUUGGUAGAGAAGAACGUUGGUGAGAGUGGAAAGCUCAUCAAGUGACGGUAACUACCCAGAAAGGGACGGCUAACUACGUG
rnacentral:rRNA from 1 species